rnacentral:rRNA from 1 species
UACGUAGGAUCCAAGCGUUGUCCGGAUUUACUGGGCGUAAAGGGCUCGUAGGUGGCCAACUAAGUCAGACGUGAAAUCCCUCGGCUUAACCGGGGAACUGCGUCUGAUACUGGAUGGCUUGAGUUUGGGAGAGGGACGCGGAAUUCCAGGUGUAGCGGUGAAAUGCGUAGAUAUCUGGAGGAACACCGGUGGCGAAGGCGGCAUCCUGGACCGACACUGACACUGAGGAGCGAAAGCCAGGGGAGCAAACGGG